rnacentral:sRNA from 1 species
AUAACAAGUUGAUGAUGACAAAGGCCCGUGUUGGCCGAGUCCGAAAGGGCUAUUCAUCUAACUGACC